UAGGGAAUCUUCGGCAAUGGACGAAAGUCUGACCGAGCAACGCCGCGUGAGUGAGGAAGGUUUUCGGAUCGUAAAACUCUGUUGUUAGAGAAGAACAAGGACGUUAGUAACUGAACGUCCCCUGACGGUAUCUAACCAGAAAGCCACGGCUAACUACGUGCCAGCAGCCGCGGUAAUACGUAGGUGGCAAGCGUUGUCCGGAUUUAUUGGGCGUAAAGCGAGCGCAGGCGGUUUCUUAAGUCUGAUGUGAAAGCCCCCGGCUCAACCGGGGAGGGUCAUUGGAAACUGGGAGACUUGAGUGCAGAAGAGGAGAGUGGAAUUCCAUGUGUAGCGGUGAAAUGCGUAGAUAUAUGGAGGAACACCAGUGGCGAAGGCGGCUCUCUGGUCUGUAACUGACGCUGAGGCUCGAAAGCGUGGGGAGCAAACAGG
rnacentral:rRNA from 1 species